CCCAGCAGCCUUGCAGCACUAACCCCCUGAAAUGGCAGAUGGCAGAACUAGAACUUGGGAAUCAGGAGCAGUUCCUACAAGAGGAAGAACUGGCUUGGAGACUGCAGGAGGAGGAGUAGACUCAUGCAAGAGGAAGGAGGAACCGGGAACGCAAUGACAACUAUCGAGCAGCCCAGGUGGCUCAGGAUGAGGUAACAGGCUAGAUGAGAUUGCUAGAUAUAUGCAGAACCAGGAACUGAAAGCCCAGUGGAGAUCCCAUGAGACAAACCUGGGGACAGAGAACAGUGAUGAGGGGAGCAACUUAUCUGAGCCAAGGAGAAGCAAGGAGAAGAAGGCAAUAGUUUCCUCGAAAUACUGUUGAAGAUCUGGACCCAACUUUUAAGUCAAAAAAGAACCACCUGCUGAAGUGUUUGCAUUCUGCUCCCAAGCUGCCCAGUCACACACUGUCCCAGUUGAUGGCCUCUUUGAUUAUAUGGAUACCACCAUCGGACCUGCCUUUAUUCACCGACUAAACGUCAGCCUAAAAAGCUAGGAUGCCAAAAAUCCAGGGACAAGAAGGAAGGCUGUAAGCAGCAGUGAAUCCUAGAGCCUUCACCUACAGCCUACUUCUUCUAGCAACAACAAAAUAUGUUUCUUCGCCAUAACUAAGAGGAGAAAAUAAUGGCUCGAAAAUAUUUUCCAGAAAGUAUUGAAGAAACUAAACUUGAAAAGAACAAUAGCUUAACAUUUCUCUUGAAGACUGUGAUGUAAGUUGAGGAGACUGCAUGUGAUACUGCAAACUGCAGCAGACACUUUUCUGACAUGCUCCAAGGGAAAGGAGCUUUUCAGCUGUGUCUACUGUUUACGUGUGAAAUAAUGGUGCUUUUGAACAACCCCCAUUUAUCAUCAAGAACAUGUGCUUAUCUGGGAUCUAGAGUGGGAACAGGCCAUUCAGUGUGAACGUAGUAAAGGCAGGUACUACUGGAAUAUGUUCUAGGAAGUACAUGAGGCCAUGGCUAAGACUUUAAUAUUUUAUAAAGACACUUCACAGAUCACUAUUGAUAAUUCAAAUACUGUAAAAGUUUUGAGAUAUGUUAAAUAGAUUUGCUACAGACAUUAUUCACUUGAGAUUACCUUAUUUCCUAUAGAGUUGUUUUUGACAUGGAGCAUAUUGAAGUGCAAAGCACAUUAUUUAAAAUUGGUGCUAAUGUUUUUAGUUUUACACUUUCAUGUGUGUUCAUUUUCUGCUCCUUGCACCUUCCAUAAAAGGCAGUAGCACAGGCUGCUGUUCAGCAGUUCUGUUGGCAAAUAAGAACUGUGUCCCUUGUAGGAAAUGCCCUGGUAGUGUUCUGAACCUUCCUUUGCAUUUGUACCAUGUGUUAAUUUCAGUGUGUAUUUCAAGCUCUUUUUAUAAACUUACUUGUAGAUGUAUGCAUUAUGCCCUUCAUAUUCCAAGUUAAA